AUUGAACGCUGGCGGCAGGCCUAAUACAUGCAAGUCGAACGGCAGCACAGCAGAGCUUGCUCUGUGGGUGGCGAGUGGCGGACGGGUGAGGAAUACAUGGGAAUCUGCCCAGUCGUGGGGGAUAACGUAGGGAAACUUACGCUAAUACCGCAUGCGCCCUUCGGGGGAAAGCCGGGGACCUUCGGGCCUGGCGCGAUUGGAUGAGCCCAUGUCGGAUUAGCUAGUUGGCGGGGUAACGGCCCACCAAGGCGACGAUCCGUAGCUGGUCUGAGAGGAUGAUCAGCCACACUGGAACUGGGACACGGUCCAGACUCCUACGGGAGGCAGCAGUAGGGAAUAUUGGACAAUGGGCGCAAGCCUGAUCCAGCCAUGCCGCGUGAGUGAAGAAGGCCCUCGGGUUGUAAAGCUCUUUUGUCCGGAAAGAAAAGCACUGGGUUAAUACCCCCGGUGUCCUGACGGUACCGGAAGAAUAAGCACCGGCUAACUUCGUGCCAGCCGCCGCAGUAAAAC
rnacentral:rRNA from 1 species